CGCCUGACUUGCAUAGGUGCGAACCGGGUGAUAUUCCCGCAGGACGUGGAGAGGCCGUAAAGGCCCACUGGAAUGUAGCUGGGGGGGAGAAAAAAAGCUCUUCGGUUGAGCUGUUAAUGCCAAACGGACUGAAAUUGAAAGAACGCCAGUGUAAACAGAGAUAACAGGAUCCGUGGCUCUGUGAUGUCACAGAAUAGAUUACAUUCACACGAACGACCGCGGCUAACGCUGCCUGGUAGGGCGGCUAGCAAACCCUAGCAUUGCUAGCGGGCUGCAUCGCGCUGUGCACUGUACCCCGUAGCAUCAAACUAGCGGCUUAGGCGUUACUAGUUAAAAUCACUGUGGCGGCCAGUGACUGUGCUGGUGCACUGAAGUGGCAGCCUGAAACACUUUGAAAAUUGCACGCUAAUGAAAAUGCAGCAGACUCAGUGGAUUGCACCUGUUCAGCCAUUCUUGCAGGAGAAUGCAGAGGCUGCGCGUUUGACCCCGGAAGGUGAUUGAAAGAAAUAUUCGGGGGGCUUCGUGUCGGUGAGCCGAAACGAACGCGCGUUAGCCGCUAUCGGGCUCGUUAGCCGCUAUCGGGCUCACAGACAGUUAAUGGAACCAGCGCGGCCUGUACAAUGCACUACUGCAACCUGCCGACGUUCUUCAGAAGCACUCUGGCCUCGUAAGGGUGUCUAUUCAUGGAAAUACUUGGACAAGCUGUUCCGACUAGCGCGAACUAGUCCGUGCAGUUCUGCAGCGUUCAAAAUAUGUCUCUGUGGUCGGUGGAAGUGGAAGGAAUGAAAUCCGUGCCAGUUAGCGUAGCUUUUAGCAGUGUUCUUUAUUGCCAGUGUUCUUUAUUCUGGGCUCAAAAUGCCUGCGUAUUACUGGCGGCUCACACUUACGGCCUAAUGAAUGGAGUUAGCCCGGUAGUAACUCUCGAUAGUUACGGAGUGACACGAAUGAGAAGAGCUGGCCUGAGGAGAAAGGGUGUAGGUGGAGACGCACGCUCGUGAAGGCUGAGGUUCACCACCGGCCACUUUCACACGCGGAACACGGAACAGUGAAAGGUAGCGGUUUCCCUUAUUCACAUAACCAGUGGCUUUCUGUCAUUUUAUUUGUGUCUAAUAGCUUUGAUGUUACCAGUAAGUCGUCUGAAAAAGCAGCUAGCAAAUACUGUUAAGAGCUGUGAUGGGAUGGGAGCAGGCCAAGAGCGUGACCAAGAUGAGGUGUGAUUGAAAGCCUAGCCUGAGAAGCUAGCGAAUGUUAACUUGGUGAUGAAGGAGAAGCGAAUAGUACAUUAUAUUUAUUUAGCAGACGCUUUUAUCCAAAGUGAUGUACAAAAAGUGCAAAUCAUGGUCAUUGGACAACUACAAAACCCAGGUUCAAUGAGAUACGAUACUCAUUUCGUACAGCUAUUUAUUUAAAUCCAAGAACACGGUUCAGUUCACGCAGUGAACACUAUUCUGACCUAACUUAUGCCAAGCCAAGCUAGGGAGAAGAACGAGCUGCAAUAUUAGGACAAACGCAGAUAACGCGUGGCUGGAUGUCUUGGCCAAUCAAGUGGAGUUCUACGUGCUUUAUCCGUUUGAAGCAGCGGCCUUGACGUCGCAAUGGAGCCUUUCUGUGAACUCUACUGCGGCCGGAGCCGGAGAAAAUAACUUUGCCGGAAUAACUUUUU